UGGAUCCAGACUUUGAUCAUGGCUCAGGACGAACGCUGGCGGCGUGCUUAACACAUGCAAGUCGAACGAGAAUCACUAGAAGGAGUUUUCGGACAACGGAAGGUGAGGACAGUGGCGGGCGGGUGAGUAACGCGUGAGGAACCUGCCUUUCAGAGGGGGACAACAGUUGGAAACGACUGCUAAUACCGCAUGACACAUAGAGAUCGCAUGGUUUUUAUGUCAAAGAUUUAUCGCUGAAAGAUGGCCUCGCGUCUGAUUAGCUAGUUGGUGAGGUAACGGCCCACCAAGGCGACGAUCAGUAGCCGGACUGAGAGGUUGACCGGCCACAUUGGGACUGAGAUACGGCCCAGACUCCUACGGGAGGCAGCAGUGGGGAAUAUUGGGCAAUGGGCGCAAGCCUGACCCAGCAACGCCGCGUGAAGGAAGAGGGCUUUCGGGUUGUAAACUUCUUUUGUCGGGGACGAGUAGAAGACGGUACCUGGCGAAUAAGCCACGGCUAACUACGUGCCAGCAGCCGCGGUAAUACGUAGGUGGCAAGCGUUGUCCGGAUUUACUGGGUGUAAAGGGCGUGUAGCCGGGAAGGCAAGUCAGAUGUGAAAUCCACGGGCUUAACUCGUGAACUGCAUUUGAAACUACUUUUCUUGAGUAUCGGAGAGGCAAUCGGAAUUCCUAGUGUAGCGGUGAAAUGCGUAGAUAUUAGGAGGAACACCAGUGGCGAAGGCGGAUUGCUGGACGACAACUGGCGGUGAGGCGCGAAAGCGUGGGGAGCAAACAGGAUUAGAUACCCUGGUAGUCCACGCUGUAAACGAUGAAUACUAGGUGUGCGGGGACUGACCCCCUGCGUGCCGCAGUUAACACAAUAAGUAUUCCACCUGGGGAGUACGAUCGCAAGGUUGCAACUCAAAGGAAUUGACGGA
rnacentral:rRNA from 1 species